CUCUUCUUGAAUAUAUUUUGAUGUAUGGCCUGCCCACUGAAUAUUGAAGGGCCGCGGUAUUUUGACCGUGCAAAGGUAGCAUAAUCAUUAGUCUUUUAAUUGUAGGCUGGAAUGAAUGGUUUGACGAGGUGUUAACUGUCUUUAAUUUUUUUUAUUGAAUUUAAAUUUUAGGUUAAAAUGCCUAAAUGUUUUUUUGGGACGAGAAGACCCUAUAGAGUUUUAUAUGUUUUUAUUUUUUUGUAUGAUAAUUUUUAAUUUGAAAAUUUAUUUUGUUGGGGUGAUGAGAAGAUUAAAUUAACUCUUUUUGUUUUUUUAUAUUUAUUUGUAUUUAUUUGAUCCAUUUUUAUUGAUUAUAAGACUAAAUUACC
rnacentral:rRNA from 1 species